CCACAUUGGGACUGAGACACGGCCCAGACUCCUACGGGAGGCAGCAGUGGGGAAUAUUGCACAAUGGGGGAAACCCUGAUGCAGCGACGCCGCGUGGAGGAAGAAGGUCUUCGGAUUGUAAACUCCUGUUGUUGAGGAAGAUAAUGACGGUACUCAACAAGGAAGUGACGGCUAACUACGUGCCAGCAGCCGCGGUAAAACGUAGGUCACAAGCGUUGUCCGGAAUUACUGGGUGUAAAGGGAGCGCAGGCGGGCGAUCAAGUUGGAAGUGAAAUCCAUGGGCUCAACCCAUGAACUGCUUUCAAAACUGAUUGUCUUGAGUAGUGCAGAGGUAGGCGGAAUUCCCGGUGUAGCGGUGGAAUGCGUAGAUAUCGGGAGGAACACCAGUGGCGAAGGCGGCCUACUGGGCACCAACUGACGCUGAGGCUCGAAAGUGUGGGUAGCAAACAGGAUUAGGUACCCUGGUAGUCCACACCGUAAACGAUGAUUACUAGGUGUUGGAGGAUUGACCCUUUCAGUGCCGCAGUUAACACAAUAAGUAAUCCACCUGGGGAGUACGACCGCAAGGUUGAAACUCAAAGGAAUUGACGGGGGCCCGCACAAGCAGUGGAGUAUGUGGUUUAAUUCGACGCAACGCGAAGAACCUUACCAAGUCUUGACAUCCUGCGACGAUGCUAGAAAUAGUAUUUUCCUUCGGGACGCAGAGACAGGUGGUGCAUGGUUGUCGUCAGCUCGUGUCGUGAGAUGUUGGGUUAAGUCCCGCAACGAGCGCAACCCUUAUGGUCAGUUACUACGCAAGAGGACUCUGGCCAGACUGCCGUUGACAAAACGGAGGAAGGUGGGGAUGACGUCAAAUCAUCAUGCCCUUUAUGACUUGGGCUACACACGUACUACAAUGGCGUUAAACAAAGAGAAGCAAGACCGCGAGGUGGAGCAAAACUCAGAAACAACGUCCCAGUUCGGACUGCAGGCUGCAACUCGCCUGCACGAAGUCGGAAUUGCUAGUAAUCGCAGAUCAGCAUGCUGCGGUGAAUACGUUCCCGGGCCUUGUACACACCGCCCGUCACACCAUGAGAGCCGGGGGGACCCGAAGUCGGUAGUCUAACCGCAAGGAGGACGCCGCCGAAGGUAAAACUGGUGAUUGGGGUGAAGUCGUAACAAGGUAGCCGUAGGAGAACCUGCGGCUG
rnacentral:rRNA from 1 species